GAUGAACGCUGGCGGCGUGCCUAAUACAUGCAAGUCGAACGGAGAGCAACUAGUAAUUUAUUACUGGAUGUUUCUUAGUGGCGAACGGGUGAGUAACGCGUUGGUGACCUGCCUCGAAGUGUGGAAUAACUCCGGGAAACUGGAGCUAAUACCGCAUGUGGUAUGUGGAUUUAGAAACCACUUACUAAAGGUCUUCGGACCGCUUUGAGAGGGGCCUGCGUCCCAUCAGCUAGUUGGUAGGGUAAUGGCCUACCAAGGCUAUGACGGGUAGGGGACCUGAGAGGGUGAUCCCCCACAAUGGAACUGAAACACGGUCCAUACACCUACGGGUGGCAGCAGUAGGGAAUAUUGCACAAUGGGCGAAAGCCUGAUGCAGCAACGCCGCGUGUGCGAUGAAGGCCUUCGGGUUGUAAAGCACUUUUCUGAGGGAAGAGGAAGGACUGUACCUCAGGAACAAGUCUCGGCUAACUACGUG
rnacentral:rRNA from 1 species